rnacentral:rRNA from 1 species
UCCACGCCGUAAACGAUGUCAACUAGCCGUUGGGAGACUUGAUCUCUUAGUGGCGCAGCUAACGCACUAAGUUGACCGCCUGGGGAGUACGGCCGCAAGGUUAAAAACCUCAAAAUGAAUUGACGGGGGCCCGCACAAGCGGUGGAGCAUGUGGUUUAAUUCGAUGCAACGCGAAGAACCUUACCAGGUCUUGACAUCCUGAGAAUCCUGUAGAGAUACGGGAGUGCCUUCGG